AUUCAGAUUAUUAAUUCAGAUUAGUUAUUCUUCAUACACGUAGCAUUUAGCUUCCACGCAGCUGCUCACACAAACCGACUCAAGUCAGUAUAAGCUUCAUCCCUCAAGCGUUGAACCAUUUUCUUCAUUCUGCAAAAUCUUAACUACUACUCCAGUAAACAUCCAUCCAACACACAAAUUACACACAAUCAUCCACAGCAGACAUCAAAGAAGGCUAAGCUGUGAUGCAGAUGGAUGUCAGCAGAGCGAAGCUUUGAAACAUAAGUACUAAAUUAGGCUCAGGAUUUCAUGUCUUCAUACAUGUAAUCCGCUUAAGUUACUCCGCUGCAACGCUUAGUGCGUUUUACUUUAUUGAUGUGUUGCAAAGUUUUCAAACUAAUAGCUUUGAGAUUAUGCC